CAGCAGCCACGGUAAUACGUAAGGUGCAAGCGUUAAUCGGAAUUACUGGGCGUAAAGCGUGCGCAGGCGGUUAUAUAAGACAGAUGUGAAAUCCCCGGGCUCAACCUGGGAACUGCAUUUGUGACUGUAUAGCUAGAGUACGGCAGAGGGGGAUGGAAUUCCGCGUGUAGCAGUGAAAUGCGUAGAUAUGCGGAGGAACACCGAUGGCGAAGGCAAUCCCCUGGGCCUGUACUGACGCUCAUGCACGAAAGCGUGGGGAGCAAACAGGAUUAGAUACCCGCGUAGUCCCUGUCUCUUAUAA
rnacentral:rRNA from 1 species